rnacentral:rRNA from 1 species
GCGAAAGCCUGAUGCAGCAACGCCGCGUGAAGGAAGAAGGGUUUCGGCUCGUAAACUUCUAUCAACAGGGACGAAAAAAAUGACGGUACCUGAAUAAGAAGCCCCGGCUAACUACGUGCCAGCAGCCGCGGUAAUACGUAGGGGGCAAGCGUUAUCCGGAAUUACUGGGUGUAAAGGGAGAGUAGGCGGCAUGGUAAGUUAGAUGUGAAAGCCCGAGGCUUAACCUCGGGAUUGCAUUUAAAACUAUCAAGCUAGAGUACAGGAGAGGUAAGUGGAAUUCCUAGUGUAGCGGUGAAAUGCGUAGAUAUUAGGAAGAACACCAGUGGCGAAGGCGACUUACUGGACUGAAACUGACGCUGAGGCUCGAAAGCGUGGGGAGCGAACAGGAUUAGAUACCCUGGUAGUCCACGCUGUAAACGAUGAGUGCUAGGUGUCGGGGGGGAACCCUCGGUGCCGCAGCUAACGCAAUAAGCACUCCACCUGGGGAGUACG